UAGUCUUUAAGGUGCCACCGGACUCCUUGUUGUUGUUGUGGAUACAGACUAACAUGGCUACCCCCUGAUACUUAGAUAAUCCUAACUCUCAGGUCCUAGAGUUUGAAUUCCCAUUUUACUGUUGCUGGAAUGAAAUGAAUGUUCAGGGUGUUUACGUGAAGAAACAUGAAGGGAGAUUUAUGUUAACACUUUGUUGAAGUGCAGAACUUUUUCCCUUGGGGAAUAUAAAGCAUUAUGUUGUAGCUAAGAAUGUGCAGUUUCCACCACAGUAUUUUUAGAGUUAUUGGGCUACUUUCUGUUCUUAGUUAUACCCGCACAAUCCUAUUUAUUUAGGAUACUCAAACCAAAGUGAUAAAUUAGCUCAUAUUUUGUUUUAUUGUUUUUCUUCUGCUUCAUACAACAACGUAUUGCAUCUUAGACCUCUAAUUAGCUUUUGAGGUUCCAUACAAAGUUGCUAGAAAAGUGGAAGGCUUAUAAAGACUAUCAAUUUGAGAUCUGAGUAAGAAAGUGCUAGAACAACUAUUUGAAUUGUAGAAAUGGAGUUUUCUCUGGUUAGUGUAGUUAGUUGGCAAGAUUCCCAGGUGGUGUGAAUGACUGUACUCCACUGAUGCUUUUUUUGACUAGUUUUUGAAAUUGUAGACACAGCAGUGGGAUCCAGUUAUAAGGCAGAGCUGGGCAACUCCUGUUUUGAUCAUUGUAUCCAAAUAAUCAUUACAUCUAGAUCUAAGAUUUGUCAACUCAGAUACACACAAAGAAACAAAAUCCCAUCUUUCAAGGACAGAGUGAGUUCUAGGCAUUUUCAGUAUCAAGGCCGAUCAGCUUUGAGAUUUUCAGAAAGUCUUUUUGUUUUUGUUGACUUUCAUAUCAAAAAUAUUUACUUAACUAAUGCACAGAAAAAUCCUAAAGCUAAUCCUCCUAAUCCUCUCUCUAAUUCAUCCAUCUCAGCAAGGUUAAUGGAACUGUAAAAAUCAUCUAAUAAUUUGGCUCAUUUCAUUAUUUACGUAUGUGUUUUUAUCAUGGUUAGCACCUAGAUGCCCCAGUGUCAAUGUUCUAGGCAUAAUGGACAUACACAUUGACACAGCGUAUGUACUUUUGGCUAAGAGUUUACAAUCUAAGCAUACGACCGGACAACCAGUGCACGACAGAGGAGGUGUUAUGUACGUAAGGGAAAGUGUCAUUAUUUGCAAGAACAUGGGGUGGGAUUUUCCAAAAUACCUAAGGGAAUUAGGUGAGCAAUUCCCAUGGAAGAUGAGUGGAAGUUGACAACUAACUUCUUAAAUUGCUUUGAAAAUCACACCCAUGAUCUUUUUUUCACAUCUAGGAUGCUUUGCACUGUUUAAGCGAUAUAUGUUAAUAGUGUGUUCUCCCCCUCUAUGUGUCUUCAUCAUGGACCAAAUCCUGAGGACCCUGACAUGCUCAGCACCUUGCAGCGUCAAGCUCUCAGCCGUUACUCACUCAUACUCCCUGGGACUGGGCACUUGUGACCUGCGUCUGUGUAAGUACAGUGUUUGCUGAAAGUGUUUUGACAACUGAAGAAUGAACUACAUCAUUAACAGUUGAAGCCUGUUUUGAAAAAGGAGCAUCAUUCAUAGAUUGCUGGACAGUGAAGGAAAUAUGAAAACAGCAGAGGGCCUAAAAUGAUUUCCGUAAAAUGAAUGAGUGAAGUUAGCUGCAUAAAACAAAUAAAAUGCCUGCUCCUAAAGAAGAACAGGACACUUCUGCAACUAACGAGUUUUCACUAUCAGAAGGAGGGUCUGUUCCCAGAGACAGAACUUUCUGGUGGCUAGCGGAGUGCUCAUCAGUGAUGCAUCUGGACAGCAGAAGACCCUAACGCCUGUGUUCAUUUGUGGACUAUAUUAUAAAUUGUGCGGCCUUUUUUGGUCCUGGGCUUCCAAAGGCUCAAAAGCCAUUGUUGUGCAUUAGUCAUUAGUAUUAAGCUGCAAAUACUGAAAGCAGCAAAACAUGAACAAAUCCGACAGCAAAUUUCAAAUGUAUUUAAGCACUAAUUUUUUUCUUAAUAACCUA